UUCUUUUACUAUUUUCGUUUAGCCUACUCGCUCGUCCCUUCUUCCUUGGGUUGGGCUGCGCGGCUUGCUCGCUGACCUCCCCCGGGGUGGGUUAAUCCCCCGGGGAAGCAACAGUGGUGGUGUAUGCAGGGGGUGUGGGCAUUUGGAAACUGGCCACCCGGGGGCGGAGGGACGGGCGGGGCGCUCCGGCCGCGUCGGGCGUUAGCCGACGCGGGGGCUUCAACCACUCUCCCUCGGGUCUACGGCCCCAGCCUGUCCCGGGAGCACAAUCGAGUCGGGCUACCCCACGCCUUCUCGCGUUUCCUGCUCCUCGUGUUGGUCUUUGGUAAUGAUCCUUCCGCAGGUUCACCUACGGAAA
rnacentral:misc_RNA from 1 species